rnacentral:rRNA from 1 species
AUGAACGCUGGCGGCGUGCCUAAUACAUGCAAGUCGAGCGAACAGACGAGGAGCUUGCUCCUCUGACGUUAGCGGCGGACGGGUGAGUAACACGUGGAUAACCUACCUAUAAGACUGGGAUAACUUCGGGAAACCGGAGCUAAUACCGGAUAAUAUAUUGAACCGCAUGGUUCAAUAGUGAAAGACGGUUUUGCUGUCACUUAUAGAUGGAUCCGCGCCGCAUUAGCUAGUUGGUAAGGUAACGGCUUACCAAGGCAACGAUGCGUAGCCGACCUGAGAGGGUGAUCGGCCACACGGGAAGUUAGACACGGUCCAGACUCCUACGGGAGGCAGCAGUAGGGAAUCUUCCGCAAUGGGCGAAAGCUUGACGGAGCAACGCGGCGUGGGUGAUGGAAGUCUUCGGUUCGUAAAACUCUGUUAUUAGGGAAGAACAAAUGUGUAAGUAACUAUGCACGUCUUGACGGUACCUAAUCAGAAAGCCACGGCUAACUACGUG